AUCCUUCUCUAUGUUCUAGUUAUUAUUAUGUUGUUAUCCAGUUGCUGCAUUCUCUAACUGAAGCGGUCGGCAUUUUAAAAGGACCUGGAAAUGCGUUUGAGUUGUAGCGUAAUACUAAUCAACAACAGCUUCUUAGUUACUUUUACUAGUAUUUUUUGUACUAAAGUAGUAAUGCAGUAAUACGAAAAGAAAACGCAGCACGCACUACAGUAGCAAAACAACAUGAUUCAUAUAUCUGCACUUUAUUCAAAAU
rnacentral:ribozyme from 16 species